UAGGGAAUCUUCGGCAAUGGGGGCAACCCUGACCGAGCAAGCCGCGUGAGUGAAGAAGGUUUUCGGAUCGUAAAGCUCUGUUGUAAGAGAAGAACGUGUGUGAGAGUGGAAAGUUCACACACUGACGGUAACUUACCAGAAAGGGACGGCUAACUACGUGUCAG
rnacentral:rRNA from 1 species